rnacentral:rRNA from 1 species
AGUGAACGCUGGCGGUAGGCCUAACACAUGCCAGUCGAACGGCAGCACAGUAAGAGCUUGCUCUUACGGGUGGCGAGUGGCGGACGGGUGAGGAAUACAUCGGAAUCUACUUUUUCGUGGGGGAUAACGUAGGGAAACUUACGCUAAUACCGCAUACGACCUACGGGUGAAAGCAUGGGAUCUUCGGACCUUGCGCGGUUGAAUGAGCCGAUGUCGGAUUAGCUAGUUGGCCGGGUAAAGGCCCACCCAGGGGACGAUCCGUAGCUGGUCUGAGUGGAUGGUCGGCCACCUUGGAACUGAGACACGGUCCAGACUCCUACGGGAGGCAGCAGUGGGGAAUAUUGGACAAUGGGCGCAAGCCUGAUCCAGCCAUACCGCGUGGGUGAAGAAGGCCUUCGGGUUGUAAAGCCCUUUUGUUGGGAAAGAAAAGCAGCAGGUUAAUACCCCGCUGUUCUGACGGUACCCAAUGAAGAAGCACCGGCUAACUACGUG